AUUGAACGCUUGCGGCAGGCCUAACACAUGCAAGUCGAACGAGUGGCGGACGGGUGAGUAACGUCUGGGAACCUGCCCGAUGGAGGGGGAUCACUACUGGAAACGGCAGCUAAUACCGCAUCCCAUCGGAUGUGCCCAGACGGGAUUAGGUAGUGGGUGGGGUAACGGCUCACCUAGGCGACGAUCCCCAGCGGGUCUGAGAGGAUGACCAGCCAAACUGGAACUGAGACACGGUCCAGACUCCUACGGGAGGCAGCAGUGGGGAAUAUUGCACAAUGGGCGCAAGCCUGAUGUAGCCAUGCCGCGUGUAUGAAGAAGGCCUUCGGGUUGUAAAGUACUUUCAGCGAGGAGGCGUUACUCGAAGAGGAAGCACCGGCUAACUCCGUGCCAGCAGCCGCGGUAAUAC
rnacentral:rRNA from 1 species